AAUUAUUUACUCUAGCGUGCAUCCAUAUUCCAUAUUAACAUGUUUGAACAAUUUACUUUAAUUAUUGUAGUCACCUUUUUCUUGAUUUUCAGCAUUACGUCGGCAGAAAACAGUACUGAUGGGUUUGGGUUUGCAAGGAUGAUGGAUAUGACAAAAAAUUAUUUCUCCAAAGUUUUCCAUCUUUAGAAAAAGGAAAAUCUUUGGAAAUUUAAUUUAUUAUACUUAUAAAAGGUAUCAUUAAAAGUAUAAUGGAGGUUUUAUUGCGUCUGGUAUUUUAUUAAAUGAAAUCUAAACAAUGAUAAUUUU